AUACAGAGGGUGCGAGCGUUAAUCGGAAUUACUGGGCGUAAAGCGCGCGUAGGCGGUUUAGUAAGUCGGAUGUGAAAGCCCUGGGCUCAACCUGGGAAUUGCAUUCGAUACUGCUUGACUAGAGUAUGGUAGAGGGAAGUGGAAUUUCCGGUGUAGCGGUGAAAUGCGUAGAUAUCGGAAGGAACACCAGUGGCGAAGGCGACUUCCUGGGCCAAUACUGACGCUGAGGUGCGAAAGCGUGGGGAGCAAACAGGAGUAGAAACCCCAGUAGUCC
rnacentral:rRNA from 1 species